rnacentral:lncRNA from 1 species
CUGCAAGAUGUCCCCAUGACUCUAUGCCUGGAGGUCACAGCAUAGCAGCAGAGGAGUUGAUUAGAGACUGUUGUCACACGGUUGCAUCCAGGUUGUUGCAAGAGAUUGACUGCAAGGCAGUCAUCCAGCUCACACUCCUGGUAUGGUUUGAGUUGGCUAAGGGACCAGUGAGAACCCUGGGUUCCCAUCAUGCUACUGUCUUCUUGCUAUGGACUGGCUACACAGUAUGAGCAGCUACGGUUCCUCUUGGUGGGUGGUGCAAAUCAAAUAUAAGACAUGGGUACAGAAGACCAGGAAGUGUUUGCAUCACAAGCACAUGACGAGUGGCAGAUGCAUUUCAGCAACCUUAUUCUGCUCUGCGCAGCGGGCAAGGCCAAGAGAGCCAUGUGUUCAGGAAUGUGUGGCCCUAUCUGGCUGAUUGAUCUCUGUCUCUUGGCUCAAAGUCUAGUAAGAGAAAUUCAAGCAGUUCUGAAAUUUAUGGCGUUUCCCCUGAGCUGUCACUUGGCAGGAAUGUCAGAAAUCACCUACAGUGCACAGUGGACAAUUGCCAUCCAGACUCAUGCUUGUGGAAGCUGCUCCUGUUUAGGAGUCUCAACAUCCUGAUGAAGAAGGGAGACUGGUGAGCCAGAGGUCAUGCUAGCAGCCCAGUGUGGACUCCACAAGAGUUAGGAAAGCUGCCACAAACCCAAGCGGACUCCACAAAGCAAUCGCCAUGCCUCAGUAACAGCUGCCUGUCCCCACAGUGUGGCUCCCACUGUAGGCUUCUGAGCAGAUGAUGCUAAUCAUGUAUGUUGGACCACUUACUGAUUUUUCCAGUGCUGAGGGCUGGUGGAAACCCACAUGUGGGGAUAUGCAGGGAGAGGGGUGAUGGGAUGCUUGUUCUGUGUCCUGUCCUUUCUAGCCUGAUGAAGGAAUAAACUAGCAAA